GCCGGGCGUGGUGGUGCACGCCUGUAAUCCCAGCUACUCGGAGGCUGAGGCAGGAGAAUGGCGUGAACCCGGGAGGCGGAGCUUGCAGUGAGCCAAGAUCAGGCCACUGCACUCCAGCCUGGGUAACACAGCAAGACUCCGUCUCAA
ensembl:misc_RNA Metazoa_SRP Metazoan signal recognition particle RNA